rnacentral:lncRNA from 1 species
CACAGCCAGGACCCAGUACUCCAGAUAAAUCAAUAUUCUUUCCUCUCCUUUGCUCCUAGGUCGAAGACUGAGUGUUGAUUCAUAUGAAAAAUAUCUUUUUCACUUCAAAACUCUCAGCCAGGAAAUGAACUUCAGUGGAAAGAAUAUAAACCUAUUUGAAGACAUAGGAAACCCAUGUUCUUUCCUAAGCUCUUGGAACCUGGAAGUUCCCUGGUCACUCUUUGUCACAGUCCGACCUGUGAACAGAGAAGAAGUGGAAAGUGGAAUUGGUCUGAAUUUUAAGAAGCAGUGUGGUCUACUGGAAAAGACACAGGCCUGGGAGUCAGAUGACCUAGGUUCUAGUCCCGGCUCUGCCAC